AGGUAAGCUACUAAGAGCGAAUGGUGGAUGCCUUGACUGGUAAAGGCGAUGAAGGACGUACUAGACUGCGAUAAGCUACGGGGAGCUGUCAAGAAGCUUUGAUCCGUAGAUUUCCGAAUGGGGCAACCCAAUGUAUAGAGAUAUACAUUACCUAUAUAGGAGCGAACGAGGGGAAUUGAAACAUCUUAGUACCCUCAGGAAAAGAAAUCAAUAGAGAUUGCGUCAGUAGCGGCGAGCGAAAGCGCAAGAGGGCAAACCCAGUGCUUGCACUGGGGGUUGUAGGACUGCAAUAUGCAAGAGGUAAGUUUAGCAGAACAUUCUGGAAAGUAUAACCAUAGAGGGUGAUAGUCCCGUAUGCGAAAAACAAACCUUAGCUAGCAGUAUCCUGAGUAGGGCGGGACACGAGGAAUCCUGUCUGAAUCCGGGUCGACCACGAUCCAACCCUAAAUACUAAUACCAGAUCGAUAGUGCACAAGUACCGUGAGGGAAAGGUGAAAAGAACUGAGGUGAUCAGAGUGAAAUAGAACCUGAAACCAUUUGCUUACAAUCAUUCAGAGCCCUAUGUAGCAAUACAGGGUGAUGGACUGCCUUUUGCAUAAUGAGCCUGCGAGUUGUGGUGUCUGGCAAGGUUAAGCAAACGCGAAGCCGUAGCGAAAGCGAGUCUGAAUAGGGCGCUUAGUCAGAUGCUGCAGACCCGAAACGAAGUGAUCUAUCCAUGAGCAAGUUGAAGCUAGUGUAAGAACUAGUGGAGGACUGAACCCAUAGGCGUUGAAAAGCCCCGGGAUGACUUGUGGAUAGGGGUGAAAGGCCAAUCAAACUUCGUGAUAGCUGGUUCUCUCCGAAAUAUAUUUAGGUAUAGCGUUGUGUCGUAAUAUAAGGGGGUAGAGCACUGAAUGGGCUAGGGCAUACACCAAUGUACCAAACCCUAUCAAACUCCGAAUACCUUAUAUGUAAUCACAGCAGUCAGGCGGCGAGUGAUAAAAUCCGUCGUCAAGAGGGAAACAACCCAGACUACCAGCUAAGGUCCCUAAGUCUUACUUAAGUGGAAAACGAUGUGAAGUUACUUAAACAACCAGGAGGUUGGCUUAGAAGCAGCCAUCCUUUAAAGAAAGCGUAAUAGCUCACUGGUCUAGUGAUUUUGCGCGGAAAAUAUAACGGGGCUAAAGUAAGUACCGAAGCUGUAGACUUAGUUUACUAAGUGGUAGGAGAGCGUUCUAUUUGCGUCGAAGGUAUACCGGUAAGGAGUGCUGGAGCGAAUAGAAGUGAGCAUGCAGGCAUGAGUAGCGAUAAUUAAUGUGAGAAUCAUUAACGCCGUAAACCCAAGGUUUCCUACGCGAUGCUCGUCAUCGUAGGGUUAGUCGGGUCCUAAGUCGAGUCCGAAAGGGGUAGACGAUGGCAAAUUGGUUAAUAUUCCAAUACCAACAUUAGUGUGCGAUGGAAGGACGCUUAGGGCUAAGGGGGCUAGCGGAUGGAAGUGCUAGUCUAAGGUCGUAGGAGGUUAUACAGGCAAAUCCGUAUAACAAUACUCCGAGAACUGAAAGGCUUUUUGAAGUCUUCGGAUGGAUAGAAGAACCCCUGAUGCCGUCGAGCCAAGAAAAGUUUCUAAGUUUAGCUAAUGUUGCCCGUACCGUAAAC
rnacentral:rRNA from 1 species